rnacentral:misc_RNA from 1 species
GUAUUUUGAAUUAAGUAUUCAUAAUAUUUUUCAGACAAAGAGUUAAAAAAUAAAGGUUGAUGUUUGGUCGAUCUCCAUGAAGAAGAUCGACUGACAUUGCACACAAGGUGGAUAUGGAUUUAAAAAGUGCCAUAAAACACUUAUUAUGAAUGAUCCUUCCGCAGGUUCACCUACGGAAA